rnacentral:rRNA from 1 species
UAGUACGGCGAGUGAGCGGGAAGAGCUCAAAUUUGAAAUCUGGCAGUCUUCGAUUGUCCGAGUUGUAAUCUAUAGAGGCGUUUUCCGUGCCGGACCGUGUCCAAGUCUCCUGGAAAGGAGUAUCAAAGAGGGUGAUAAUCCCGUACUUAACACGACCACCGGUGCUCUGUGAUACGUCUUCUACGAGUCGAGUUGUUUGGGAAUGCAGCUCAAAAUGGGUGGUGAAUUCCAUCUAAAGCUAAAUAUUGGCGAGAGACCGAUAGCGAACAAGUACCGUGAGGGAAAGAUGAAAAGCACUUUGGAAAGAGAGUUAAACAGUACGUGAAAUUGUUGAAAGGGAAACGAUUGAAGUCAGUCGUGUUCUUUGGAUUCAGCCAGUUCUGCUGGUCUACUUCCUUUGAACGGGUCAACAUCAGUUUUGUCCGGUGGAUAAAGGCAGUAGGAAUGUAGCUUCUCCGGAAGUGUUAUAGCCUAUUGUCACAUACACUGGGUGAGACUGAGGACUGCAGCUCGCCUUUAUGGCCGACCUUCGGGUACGUUCGAGCUUAGGAUGUUGACAUAAUGGCUUUAAACGACCCGUCUUGAA